rnacentral:rRNA from 1 species
CCUACGGGGGGCUGCAGUGGGGAAUUUUGGACAAUGGGGGCAACCCUGAUCCAGCCAUUCCGCGUGAGUGAAGAAGGCCUUCGGGUUGUAAAGCUCUUUUGUCCGGAGCGAAACGGGCGGCCCUAAUACGGUCGUCUACUGACGGUACCGGAAGAAUAAGCACCGGCUAACUACGUGCCAGCAGCCGCGGUAAUACGUAGGGUGCGAGCGUUAAUCGGAACGUGUGGGCGUAAUGCGUGAGGCCACGGUUGAAAUCCCCGGGCGCAACCUGGGAAUGGCAUUUGGGACUGCAAGGCUGGAGUGUGGCAGAGGGGACUAGAAUUCCUGGUGUAGCAGUGAAAUGCGUAGAUAUCAGGAGGAAUACCGAUGGCGAAGGCAGGUCCCUGGGUUAACACUGACGCUCAUGCACGAAAGCGUGGGGAGCAAACAGGAUUAGAUACCCGAGUAGUC